rnacentral:rRNA from 1 species
UGCCCUUGAGGCGUGGCUUCCGGAGCUAACGCGUUAAGUCGACCGCCUGGGGAGUACGGCCGCAAGGUUAAAACUCAAAUGAAUUGACGGGGGCCCGCACAAGCGGUGGAGCAUGUGGUUUAAUUCGAUGCAACGCGAAGAACCUUACCUACUCUUGACAUCCAGAGAACUUAGCAGAGAUGCUUUGGUGCCUUCGGGAACUCUGAGACAGGUGCUGCAUGGCUGUCGUCAGCUCGUGUUGUGAAAUGUUGGGUUAAGUCCCGCAACGAGCGCAACCCUUAUCCUUUGUUGCCAGCGGUCCGGCCGGGAACUCAAAGGAGACUGCCAGUGAUAAACUGGAGGAAGGUGGGGAUGACGUCAAGUCAUCAUGGCCCUUACGAGUAGGGCUACACACGUGCUACAAUGGCGCAUACAAAGAGAAGCGACCUCGCGAGAGYAAGCGGACCUCAUAAAGUGCGUCGUAGUCCGGAUUGGAGUCUGCAACUCGACUCCAUGAAGUCGGAAUCGCUAGUAAUCGUGGAUCAGAAUGCCACGGUGAAUACGUUCCCGGGCCUUGUACACACCGCCCGUCACACCAUGGGAGUGGGUUGCAAAAGAAGUAGGUAGCUUAACCUUCGGGAGGGCGCUUACCACUUUGUGAUUCAUGACUGGGGUGAAGUCGUAACAAGGUAACCGUAGGGGAACCUGCGGUUGGAUCACCUCCUUA